rnacentral:lncRNA from 1 species
UGUUGUCCCUGAAAAAUGUAUGCAUGCCCUUGCUUCUAUCCCAGUCCACAGAGUUCACUGAAGUGUAACUUCCUAAACUGCUGAGAACAUGACAGCUGUGACUCAAAGCCUGGUGAGUAGACACUAUCUCUGAGUCACUUGAACUGUGGUUUUCUGGACAUUUUAAAAAGAAAAAUACCAGAAGGAUUUGGGGGAGGGGUAGUUGUUUAAUUGAAGAGAUUUUUUUUUUAAGUAAGCAGCAAUAGUCAGGAGAAUGUCUAAUAGUCAUUAUUCUCCAGACACUGUCCACCCUCCUUGUGGGAACAUGGAAGGGAUGUGAUUUUCUGGAUUCCUUCCAGAACAUGUGGCCAUGGAAUGUUCUAGCUACUGAAACACAGCCUGAUCAGAAGGAAGGACAUCCCUUCUAGGUAGAAGCUCAGAGACACAGUCCUAUAGGCAACUGUGGAAGAAGCAGAUGGAGCUCCUUCAGAAGAAUACAGACCCAGUGACAUGCAUACAACCAAGGCAUAAUCCUGCAUGAGUCUUAACAUGAAAGACGUAGGGCUUGCUUGUUAUAGCAGCACAACCCAGACUGUCUGACUGAUUACAGUCCACAUACUCAUUUUGAUUUGACUUUCAUUGGCUCUAGCUCAGGAGGACUCUAGCUUGUCAUACCUAGAGAAACCUGCUCAUAUGUGCUUAUUGCCACACAGCCAAGACACAGAGCCAGCCUAUAUGUCCCGCAGCAGAUGAAGAGAUAAAGAAAUCUGAUGAAUGAAACCACGACAUUUUUCAGAAAUAUUGAUGGAGCAGCAGGUCAUCAUGCC